UUGAUUGACACACUCUUGGU
rnacentral:siRNA from 1 species